GCCGGGGCGUCCCCCGCGGGAGCCCGCAGCCACCCGGGACGCGCAUCCAGACGUGGCGCUUCGGACCGGGCACGCUGCGCCCGGGGGCUCGGCGGACCCCGCGUAGCCGCCGCUUCGGAGCUUGUGCGGCGCGGGCUGGCCAGCGGGGCGGCCAGGGCCCGGCCCGCCUCCCCAGCGCCCGCCCGGCUUCUCCCCCUGGCGGUGGGAGCCUCGGCGGCCGCUGGCGACACUAGGCGCACUGAAGCCCGAGCCGAGCCGAGCCCGAGCCGCCGCCGCCGCCGCCGCUGCUGCGCACCGCUCCCGGGCUCCCUCCCAGCGCGCCGGCCGGGGUGUGGGGGGCGGCGGGCCGGAGGGGCGAGGGCGGGCCAGGGGGCGCACACGGGGGUUGGCGCGGAAGACAGGACCCUCAGCCUCGAGGGAGCCCCUAGGUGACCAGGCAAAAUGGCAGUUCCUUCCAGCUGGUCCUCAGAUGGGCACAUCUAUUAGCCUCUGCUCUUGUAAGAAGUUAGCUGCAGAACCCACAUGUGAAUCCUUGUAGGACUCUGGAGAAGAUCAAAUGGGAGCUUAGAUGUGGAAGCUCUUUGGAAACCAAGAAACACUCUGAAAAUGAAAAGGAUACCAACUUCAUCUCUCUUUAAGAAUACAAUAUUAGUUUAAAAGAUUGUUCAACUUAAAGCAAUCUUGUAGAGAUUGUCACCCAUGAUUGAUGCUGGGUGGAAGAGUAAACUGUUCCUGUUUCUCCAUCUUGACAGGAAGCAGAAGUUCUCCUUAGCUGAUUUUUCUUCUUGCCUUAUACUGGGUUCUUUAACACCAGAACAAAAAUAAAUAAAUAAAAGAAUCUUCCAGAAAUUCAUGAAGAGACUUCAGGUCAGGAAAGCCUGAACUUUCUCAUCCAACACCCGUUCAAGUCGGAGGAUGCUGAUUAAUUCAUGAUGGAAAGGUAUCAAUUUCACAGCCCAGACCUCUACAUUCUUGAAAUGCUCUUCUCAUGGGAGACAUUAAAUAAGCUUUGAAUUAACUGUAAGUAAAUAAAUAUUCAAUUAUUUGAAUAGCACUAUAUUCUGUUUCAUUAAAAAUAUUUCUUACUUGAUUUUUCUCACCAAUAAAAGUAUUCAAAAAUGUUUAAUUCAAUCAUCAUCACAUCAAGAAUUACGAUAUUAUCUCCGAAUUAUAUAAGUGAUUUUCUGGUCAUGCACAUACCAGUUGUUCUUACUCUAUAUAAAUGUACUUUUUUGUUAAAAUAUAAUCAUUUAGUUUAAAAUUGAGAUAUCCUUGUUACUGGAGAAUUUCAAAUAUAUUUAACAACAACAAUAAAAAGCUUAAAUAUAAAUA
rnacentral:lncRNA from 1 species